rnacentral:rRNA from 1 species
AACCACGCUCCUCAAGUGAUUCGGAUUUUUACUGGACCUAAAGCGUCCGUAACCGGAUCUGCAAGUCUUCGAUCAAAUCAGGGAGAUCAACUGUCGGACUGCUGAAAAUACUACAGAUCUAGGAGGAGAAAGAGGGAUAGGGGACUCCUUGGUUAGGGGUGAAAUCCGUUAAUCCAACGGAGGACCACCAGAUGGAGAAGGCGCUCUACUGCCACGCGCUCGACGGGGAGGGACGAAAGCCAGAGAAGCGAACCGUAUUAUAUACCCGGAUAAUCCUGUGCUGUAAACGAUGCGGAUAUAGAUGUAUGCCCAGCCACGAUACUGGGUCAGUUCCGUAGGGAAGCCGCUAAGCCGGCCGCCUGGCGAGUACGGAUCGCAUAGGCUGAAACUUAAAGGAAUUGGCGGGGGAGCACCACAAGGGGUGAAUCCUGCGGUUUACUUGGACUCAACGCCGAGAAGCUUACCAGGGGCGACGACAGAAUGAAGGUCAGCCUGAUGACCUUGCUAGACAAGUCGAGAGGAGGAGCAUGGCUGUCGUCAGUUCGUUCCGCGAGGUGUCCUGUUAACUCAGGCAACGAACCAAACCCACGCCCACAGUUCCGAGCAGAUUUAUUCGGAGAUGCUGGGCACUCUGUGGGGCACGCCAGCGAUAAGUUGGAUGAAGGCGUGGGCCACGGCAGGUCAGUAUAGAGCGCUACAGUUGCUCACUGGCAUUCACCGAAGCUCCGAAUCCCCUGGGCCCCACGCGGCCUGCAAUGGCGAGGUCAAUGGGUUGCUCCACCGAGAGGUGACGCUAAUCCCGAAACCUCGUCGUAGUUAGGAUUGCGGGUUGCAACUCACCCGCAUGAAUACGGAAUCCCUAGUAAUCGCGUGUCAUCAUCGCGCGGUGAAUACGUCCCUUCUCCU